AAAUAGUUUUAUAUUUCUUCAUUUAGCAAAUAUUUAUUGAGCAGUUCUAUGAGUCAGGUACUAUUUUAGGUGCUGAUGAUAAAAGAUGAACAAGUUAGAAACAGGCCUACUCUCAUGGCCUCUUGAAAGUUAGAGUCUAGUGGAAGAUGCAGAUGGAGUCACUAACAAUAAAAUGUGAUAAAUGUAUUAGUUGUGGUAGGGUGCCAUGAAAGCUAGAGGUGGGACACCCAGUGCUUAUGGUUUCAAGACAGAGUCAAAGGUGAUUUGGAGAAAGCUUCUUAAAGAAUGUUAAAUUUAUGUUGAGACUUUAGGACUGAGUCGUGUGAUCCAUCUUGAGGAAACCAUGUCUUCAGAGGCUCAGAGGGAAGAGAGCAUGGCACAUUCUAGGAACUGAAUGAAGUGGAGGAUGACCAUAAUGUUAAGUAACAGUAGGGGAGCUGUAGUAAAUGAAAACUGGAGAAGGAAGCAAGGGUAAGAGCCUGUCGAGUCUUGUAAGCCACGUUAAAGAGUUUGGACUCUAUCCUACGAACAUUGGAGACCAUUUAAGGGUUUUAAGAAAUCUA